UUUCUAUGGAAAUAUAUUUUUGUAUAUUGCAUCUUAAGUGAAAUUUAUUGAAUGCUUAAAAUAAAAACCUUUAGUGAUUAUUUGUUGGAUACUCAGGCAGUUAACAAAGAGUUAAAUAACGUGACUUAUAAAAAUAAAUAUAUAUUUUUAUUAUUCACUUUUUAUAUGUUAUACAUGUUUUGGUUCGUUUUUUUUUGCAAAAAAGGGUUCAAAACAAAUUUAUGUAUGUGAUUUUCGUUUCCUUUAAUUUAUUACUAAACCAUUUUAAUUUUUCCUCUUUUUAAAACAAAUUUAUAUUUAACAAAAUCUCCUUUUUUCCUUAGCUUUUCUCUUUCGUUUAUUAUUUUCUGUGUCUUUGUCUUUAAUGCUUUUAAAAUUUUUCCUUUUUUUUUUCUUCUACAUCUGUCUUCGUCUUGAAUCACCGAAAAGCUAAAGAAAAUCGAAGAAACUUUCCAAUACCAACUGGAGGAACAAGAACGAGUUUACGGGCCGAUUUCUCCGUUGUGUUUACCUUCCGAUUUAACGGAUUUUCACCCCGAGGGGCUUGGGUCGACACGCAGCAGCCUCUCAUCGGUUUCGGAAGGUUAAUUAAUUAAAAAAAAAUUAAAUACUCUCGUUAAAACGUGUAUAUAAAAAAUAUUGAUUUAUCGAGUUUAACGUAGCCAUUUAAGAGAUAAUGAUUUAUAUUUAGUUUAUUAAAGUUUCUUUUUGAUUCUCUGACUGAGCGUUUAAAAUUAUUUGUAUAAAGGAAUUAAAAAAAAGUAUUUUUAUCCAACACUUUAUAAGUAGAAUUUAACAUUCAGAUUCGAUUGUAAAAAAAAAAAAGAUAAAAUUAAGAAUUGGUUUAAAAAGUGCCUAUUUUUGGCCAUACUUAGCCAAUCGUCCGAAAAGAAUGAAAUUGAAUUAGAUUUUUUUGUCGUGUAAUGUACAUAAUAUAAAUACUGGUAUAAUAUAAUAAUAUAUGAUUUAGAUUUAUAUAGCGGAAAGCAUUUAGUCAAUUAUACCCCAACAACAAGGACUCGGAGUGAGUGAUGCGUUUAUACAUAUAUUUUUUCUACUUAUAGUACCAUAUAUAUAUAUAUUGUCUAUACCGUAUAUAUAUUGUGCAUUACUACUUACAUCAAUAAAUUCAUAUAUACCA